GAUGAAGAACGCAGCGAAAUGCGAUAAGUAAUGUGAAUUGCAGAAUUCAGUGAAUCAUCGAAUCUUUGAACGCACAUUGCGCCCGCCAGCAUUCUGGCGGGCAUGCCUGUUCGAGCGUCAUUUCAACCCUCGACCUCCCCUUGGGGAAGUCGGCGUUGGGGACCGGCAGCAUACCGCCGGCCCCGAAAUGGAGUGGCGGCCCGUCCGCGGCGACCUCUGCGUAGUAAUCCAACCUCGCACCGGAACCCCGACGUGGCCACGCCGUAAAACCCCCAACUUUCUGAACGUUGACCUCGGAUCAGGUAGGAAUACCCGCUGAACUUAAGCAUAUCAAUAACGGAGGA
rnacentral:misc_RNA from 1 species